UGGGGAAUUUUGGACAAUGGGCGCAAGCCUGAUCCAGCAAUGCCGCGUGCAGGAUGAAGGCCUUCGGGUUGUAAACUGCUUUUGUACGGAGCGAAAAGGUCUGCCCUAAUACGGUGGGCUCAUGACGGUACCGUAAGAAUAAGCACCGGCUAACUACGUGCCAGCAGCCGCGGUAAUACGUAGGGUGCGAGCGUUAAUCGGAAUUACUGGGCGUAAAGCGUGCGCAGGCGGUUAUAUAAGACAGAUGUGAAAUCCCCGGGCUCAACCUGGGAACUGCAUUUGUGACUGUAUAGCUAGAGUACGGCAGAGGGGGAUGGAAUUCCGCGUGUAGCAGUGAAAUGCGUAGAUAUUCGGAGGAACACCAGUGGCGAAGGCGGCUCACUGGCUCGAUACUGACGCUGAGGUGCGAAAGCGUGGGGAGCAAACA
rnacentral:rRNA from 1 species